rnacentral:lncRNA from 1 species
CCCCUAUAUUUUUUUUUCUUGCUAUUCUUCUUCCAUUUUCUUCUUUUAUAUUUCACCUGUUCGGUUUUUUGCGAGCAUCUCAUUUCUUAUUGUUCCCAAUUUUUUUUGGGAUUUUUAGGAUUUUCACUUGAUUCAAAAUAUCCUCCAACACUUCCUCCUCUAGCAGUUCUAGGAGUCCGUCUGUUCCAGCCCCCCAAAGCCUCAGUUCUGUAGAUGAACCUCAUCCGGUCUUUGUACCAAACAUCAUCCCCAGCUCUUUGACUUCGG